rnacentral:tRNA from 1 species
CUUUUUUCAGUAGCUAUAGAAGUUGUGGGCUUUUAACUCAUAGAAAUAUUUAAAUUUAAAUGUCUGAAAUA